CUUAUCAAGAGUGGUGGAGGAACAGGUCCUAUGAAGCCCGGCAACCUAACUUAUUAUGUUAAGGUGCCAAAUCCUGCGGUAUUUCCGAGAGAUGAGG
rnacentral:ncRNA from 1 species